AGAGUUUGAUCAUGGCUCAGAACGAACGCUGGCGGCGUGCUUAACACAUGCAAGUCGAGUGCGCGUGCCGUAGCAAUACGGCAUGGCGCACGGCGCACGGGUGCGUAACACGUGGGCAAUCUGCCCUCCGAUGGGGAAUAACUCCGGGAAACCGAAGCUAAUUCCGCAUAACAUUCCCUGGACUCCGGUUCGGGGAUUCAAAGCAGCAAUGCGUCGGAGGAGGAGCCCGCGCCCGAUUAGCUAGUUGGUGAGGUAACGGCUCACCAAGGCUAUGAUCGGUAGCUGGUCUGAGAGGAUGGCCAGCCACACUGGAACUGAGACACGGUCCAGACUCCUACGGGAGGCAGCAGUGGGGAAUCUUGCGCAAUGGGCGAAAGCCUGACGCAGCGACGCCGCGUGGGGGAUGAAGCUUCUCGGAGUGUAAACCCCUUUCGACCGGGACGAAUGCCCGCAAGGGAGUGACGGUACCGGUAGAAGAAGCCCCGGCUAACUACGUGCCAGCAGCCGCGGUAAGACGUAGGGGGCCAGCGUUGUCCGGAAUUACUGGGUGUAAAGGGUUCGUAGGCGGUGUGGCAAGUCGGGAGUGAAAUUUCUGGGCUUAACUCAGAACCUGCUUCCGAAACUGCUGUGCUGGAGUGUGGGAGAGGCGCGUGGAAUUGCAGGUGUAGCGGUGAAAUGCGUAGAUAUCUGCAGGAACACCCGUGGCGAAAGCGGCGCGCUGGACCACUACUGACGCUGAGGAACGAAAGCUAGGGGAGCAAACAGGAUUAGAUACCCUAGUAGUCC
rnacentral:rRNA from 1 species